rnacentral:tRNA from 1 species
GGGUCGUUAGCUCAGUUGGUAGAGCAGUUGGCUUUUAACCAAUUGGUCGUAGGUUCGAAUCCAACACGACCCACCA